CCUACGGGAGGCAGCAGUGGGGAAUUUUGGACAAUGGGCGAAAGCCUGAUCCAGCAAUGCCGCGUGUGGGAAGAAGGCCUUCGGGUUGUAAACCACUUUUGUACGGAACGAAACGGCUCGCUUUAAUACAGUGGGCUAAUGACGGUACCGUAAGAAUAAGCACCGGCUAACUACGUGCCAGCAGCCGCGGUAAUACGUAGGGUGCGAGCGUUAAUCGGAAUUACUGGGCGUAAAGCGUGCGCAGGCGGUUAUAUAAGACAGUUGUGAAAUCCCCGGGCUCAACCUGGGAAUUGCAUCUGUGACUGUAUAGCUAGAGUACGGUAGAGGGGGAUGGAAUUCCGCGUGUAGCAGUGAAAUGCGUAGAUAUGCGGAGGGACACCGAUGGCGAAGGCAAUCCCCUGGACCUGUACUGACGCUCAUGCACGAAAGCGUGGGGAGCAAGCAGGAUUAGAUACCCUGGUAGUCCACGCCCUAAACGAUGUCAACUGGUUGUUGGGUGCAUUAGUACUCAGUAACGAAGCUAACGCGUGAAGUUGACAGCCUGGGGAGUACGGCGCAAGUUGAAACUCAAAGGAUUGACGG
rnacentral:rRNA from 1 species